rnacentral:rRNA from 1 species
UACGUAGGGUGCGAGCGUUAAUCGGAAUUACUGGGCGUAAAGGGCGCGUAGGCGGCUUUGUAAGUCACUUGUGAAAUCUCUGAGCUUAACUCAGAACGGCCAAGUGAUACUGCAAUGCUAGAGUAUUGGAGGGGCAAUCGGAAUUCUUGGUGUAGCGGUGAAAUGCGUAGAUAUCAAGAGGAACACCUGAGGUGAAGACGGGUUGCUGGCCAAAUACUGACGCUGAGGCGCGAAAGCCAGGGGAGCAAACGGG